rnacentral:rRNA from 1 species
AUGUCCUACGGGAGGCAGCAGUGAGGAAUAUUGGUCAAUGGUCGGGAGACUGAACCAGCCAAGCCGCGUGAGGGAGGAAGGUACAGAGUAUCUUAAACCUCUUUUGUCAGGGAACAAAGGCGGGGACGUGUCCCCGGAUGAGUGUACCUGAAGAAAAAGCAUCGGCUAACUACGUGCCAGCAGCCACGGUAAUACGGAGGAUGCGAGCGUUAUCCGGAUUUAUUGGGUUUAAAGGGGGCGCAGGCGGACUGUUAAGUC